rnacentral:rRNA from 1 species
GCGAGAUGAGUAUUCUAAGGCGCUUGAGAGAACUCAGGAGAAGGAACUCGGCAAAUUGAUACCGUAACUUCGGGAGAAGGUAUGCCCCAAGUAGGUGAACUCGUACAGAGGGAGCCCAAAGGGGUUGCAAAAAAUCGGUGGCUGCGACUGUUUAAUAAAAACACAGCACUCUGCAAACACGAAAGUGGACGUAUAGGGUGUGACGCCUGCCCGGUGCUGGAAGAUUAAAUGAUGGGGUGCAAGCUCUUGAUUGAAGUCCCAGUAAACGGCGGCCGUAACUAUAACGGUCCUAAGGUAGCGAAAUUCCUUGUCGGGUAAGUUCCGACCUGCACGAAUGGCGUAACGAUGGCGGCGCUGUCUCCACCCGAGACUCAGUGAAAUUGAAAUCGCUGUGAAGAUGCAGUGUAUCCGCGGCUAGACGGAAAGACCCCGUGAACCUUUACUAUAGCUUUGCACUGGACUUUGAAUUUGCUUGUGUAGGAUAGGUGGGAGGCUUUGAAGCGGGGACGCCAGUUCUCGUGGAGCCAACCUUGAAAUACCACCCUGGUUUGUUUGAGGUUCUAACCUUGGUCCGUAAUCCGGAUCGGGGACAGUGCAUGGUAGGCAGUUUGACUGGGGCGGUCUCCUCCUAAAGAGUAACGGAGGAGCACGAAGGUUGGCUAAGUACGGUCGGACAUCGUACGGUUAGUGCAAAGGCAGAAGCCAGCUUAACUGCGAGACAGACACGUCGAGCAGGUACGAAAGUAGGUCUUAGUGAUCCGGUGGUUCUGUAUGGAAGGGCCAUCGCUCAACGGAUAAAAGGUACUCUGGGGAUAACAGGCUGAUUCCUCCCAAGAGUUCAUAUCGACGGGGGAGUUUGGCACCUCGAUGUCGGCUCAUCACAUCCUGGGGCUGUAGCCGGUCCCAAGGGUAUGGCUGUUCGCCAUUUAAAGUGGUACGUGAGCUGGGUUUAAAACGUCGUGAGACAGUUUGGUCCCUAUCUUCCGUGGGCGCUGCAGAUUUGAGGAAGCCUGCUCCUAGUACGAGAGGACCGGAGUGGACACACCUCUGGUGUAUCGGUUGUCACGCCAGUGGCAUUGCCGAGUAGCUAAGUGUGGAAGAGAUAACCGCUGAAAGCAUCUAAGCGGGAAACUCGUUUCAAGAUGAGAUCUGCCGGGGCCUUGAGCCCCCUAAAGAGUCGUUCAAGACCAGGACGUUGAUAGGUCAGGUGUGGAAGCGAAAAAAAAAAA